UACGUAGGGGGCUAGCGUUGUCCGGAUUUAUUGGGCGUAAAGAGCGUGUAGGCGGCCAGGUAGGUCUGCUGUGAAAACUCCAGGCUCAACCUGGAGACGCCACUUGAUACUGCUGUGGCUAGAGUCCGGUAGGGGAGCAUGGAAUUCCUGGUGUAGCGGUGAAAUGCGCAGAUAUCAGGAGGAACACCAGUGGCGAAGGCGGUGCUCUGGGCCGGAACUGACGCUGAGGAGCGAAAGCGUGGGGAGCAAACAGG
rnacentral:rRNA from 1 species